GUCGCGGACGCCGCUGCUCGAGCCCCCCUGGGACCCCCCCGAACCCCACUGGACAGAGCCCAAAGCCCCCGAGUGCCGAGGCUGAAUUCCCCCGAGGGCCUCUGCGCCGUGGCGCGCGCGGGACUUUGAACCGUUUGGGAUUGCGGGAGGCGCAGCGAUUGGAGGCCGUCAGAACGCGAGAGCAAGCUCCACCUCCCAGAAAACGUCUCUGACCCCUUCCUGGGCCGGUCAGCUGCGUGGCAAAUGAGACUAAGCAAAAAUUUGUGAAAGAAAGCCCAGAGAAUGUGGGGGGACCAGGACUUCAUUAACGAGGCACUGCACAUCAAAUAGCUUGAGGAGGAAUUUGAAAACUCCAGUGGGAAAUCUUGGGAAAACGAGCACUUACAGAGGCAGAGGUGAGCCGCCACCCUCCUUCUCCACACCCAACCUGAGUCACUUCUGAUUCAGAACUCGCGUCUCGCACUAGGAAGGAGCCCUGCGCGCCCGGGCCAUUCAGAGCGCAGAGAUCGGGGAAGUCGCCUUUCCCUUUGGCGCCAGAUUUGACGUCUACUCCACCAUUGGUCCGCUGAGAGCAGGCCCCGCCCCCGCUCCCAGAGACACCAUUCACAACAUUGGGCGUCCAGCUCCCUCGCCGCUUCCGGCGCUCCCGCGG